rfam:Gossypium hirsutum cultivar TM-1 chromosome 26, whole genome shotgun sequence
AAUCCAUGGUGCAGGCAUUUUUAAAUCAACAUUUUGAAUCGAUCCUGUGCCUCAUAAAAACCUUCUCCCUCCAUCUGUCUAAAGACAAAUGUCUUUCUUCUUAAUU